rnacentral:lncRNA from 1 species
AUGGUGAAAGCAGACAAACUCCUAACGGGAGCUCUUCCCUGGAAACUGUGCCACAGCAUGGAGAUGGUGACAAACCUCUUAAGGAAAAGUCUGAGCCUUUCUCAUGGGAUAAACCUGGAGCAACUGCAGUUUCCACAAAUGGAAGGUAAAGUUAGUGUGAAAUUCCUUCAUUCACUUCAGUACUGUGUAGAUAAUAAACUUCUCCACUUCAGCUGUCUGGAAGCUCUGAGUGGAUACUUACUGAUGGAAAAGCACAAUUCAGUCUGUGCUUUGCAGAACUGCAGUGGUUUCUCUAACAUUUUAUUUGAGAAGAACUAAAAUGAGAACAUUGUCUUUUUACAGACAAUUGUUUGAUAUUGUUCCAGUUCUUAGCUUAGCUUCUAUUACACAGGGAAAAUAGAACUUUCCUGGGUCAUUUCUGCAUUUUCUGGAUUUAUUCCCAAAUGCAGACUGAUUACAUUUUAUUUCUUUAUUUAUUUAUUACGGUAUAGAGAGCUUCACAUCUGAGACAACUCCAGGCUUCCACCUAUCAACUUAUUUUUACAACAAGGUUCUCCUUAGAAAAGAUAAAGGCUAGAAACUCCCUUUUCUUCUAAAGUGUCUGGAAAAAGGUUCAGUUGCUAGGAAAAGUUGUCCUGACUCUAAGGUAUUGUGAAAACUAGUUAAAGAUCCCAUAACUACAGGUGCAGUUGUUGUCUCUGACUGCAGUCCAUUGUCACUGCUCUGCUUGCCUUUUGCGUGCAUGAGAAUCAUCAUCUGCUCCCACCUUACUGGGAACCAUCCUUGGCAGAAUCCUGAUCCUUCCUGUGGGCACCAGUAUUUUUGGCAUCCAAAGUAGCUGAUACCCAGUGGAGCUCCUUUACUGGGACUCCACACUGCUGCUGUUCACCUCCAUAUCCCGGUCCUCGAAGGUCUUCUCCUUCUCUGGGAAGCAAUGGUUUAAUUUGGUCCAGAAAUCAGUGCAAGUACGAAGGUACCUCUCAGACAUCCACUGAAGGUGACUGAAACAACCCAGUUCCUUCCUGUUCUGUGGCAAUAAGACAGUUUAUUUUACAACUUUUCUAGAGAGCCUGACCGCUACUGGAAGGGGAAACACAUAAAUUAGAUUCUCAAAUUAACAAAGUUGCAAAUGCAAAGAGCUGUGUUUCUGUCCAGCCUGACACAGUGGAAUUGAAGGAGGAAAGCUGCUAUCACUGUGGCAUUCAGAAGAGAAGUUCAGUAAGAGCUGUUCACCCAUCUGCUUUAUCAGUGCUCACAGCCAUGAAACAAGCAAACAGAAACGCACAAUUUAGGAUCAGACACCUGUAGUUCCCUAUUUUGUCAGCUCCCUUGAGGCAAAACAGAAGACAUAAGGGCUGUUCCUUCCCUUCUGUGUGUGAAAAUAGAAGUCCCUGUGUUGCAGCUGUGGCCUGCAGGACAUCCCACUGAUUUUGGAAGAGUCCUGGCUUGAAUUUCUAGGUGACUCAAUACCACUAGCAUCUGUCAUGUUGAUGAUUUUCAGAGUUACUAACUGCUUCUUGCACAGUGAAUUUCCCCUAAGUUUCUGGCCAUUUUACCUGUAGAAAUACACUUAGGGAAGUGUAGUUCCCAUCCCUGGGAAGUCUUAGGGGUUUUAUUCUCUCUCCUUUUCUAAAUGUAUAAGAAAAUAAUUGCAGAUUGUUACCCAGAUCAAAACAGGGAUGCUUUCUGAAGCUGUUUUAUCUCCUUUUCAGUUAUUCUGAACACACAGAAGCCAACAAUGGAUUUUACCGACCGAGGUAAGUGUAAAGAAGAUUAGCAGUGAAAAUGCACAUAUAUUUUCCUAGUUUGAAGUGGAAAUGGUCUUUUCUUGAUGCUACAUUACCGUAAAAAAUGUGUUCUAGGAGCUUGUAUGCACUUUAAAAAGGGAAUGGAGCUGAUCCACCAGCUUAUCUGUGAUCUUUCAGCUACUUCUUUGCACUAGCCUGAGAUGGUUGGAUGGUCUCUGCCCUUCAGAUCUGCUGCAAGAAUGUUAGGGAGCUAAGAUGGAAAUUGUUUGAGACUAGAAAAUCUCAUGUUUGUUUUCACUUCUUGCUCCAUUCUCCAGCCUGCUAAGCUUCAGUCAGUGACCCACCAAUCUCCCUUUCUUACCAGGUCUGACUCUGGUUAUAGGGACAGAUCUGCAGAUGCUGUAGACAAGCUGCAACAACGGUACGAGGCUUCUCCCUACACAGAUGAUGCAAAGUCUGAACCUGCAAGAUCAGAGCCUGGUGCUGGUAUUCACAGUGCUGCUGCUAGCAGCAGGUAGGUUCGGGGGGAAGAAUAAAUAAUGUAUUCACAGUAGAGUUGGAAGCA